AAGGCGAAGGGCUGCGGGUGGAGGUGGCGUUGCCGCUCGGCUCCGGCGGCUGCUCCAGGGAAUGACAGGGACCACUGGCGGCCGGUGCUGGUGGGCAGCUGGUGCUUCUGGUUGUGGCGUGAGGACACUUUGGCCGUGUGACGUGCCGGGUCUGGCCGCGGCGAUGGGAAGGCACCGCUCGCGCUGUGCCCGUGUUCUACAGACCUUGCAGUCGCGGUGCGUCAGGCUGCGAUCCUGCCGGACCCUCGGGGAUCUGGUUUCAUCGGUGCCGAGUGGGUCCGAGUCUCUCUGUGGCUCUGCGGGAGCAGCCAGGGCCGGUGAAGGUGAUCUCAGCAGCCUGUGCCGGAUCCUGCCAGGACAGGACCGUGUCUGGCCGCCAUGCUCUGCUUCCCAGGGGCUUCACCUUGCGUGUCAGAGCUCUCCGCAGCUCCCACAGGAACUUAUUUCUCUCCAGUUGCAUCAUUUGCAGAGAAGGAGACCUCAGCGUGUUGGUAAAUGCGGGAUCUGCGCGGGGGCGCGGGCAAGCACGAGAUUGACAGGAGCUGCCACCUGGUUUCUGACUCCGCCGUUGAGAGCAUCUACAGGUACCAAUGCCAAAGCAGGGUGGGGAUUGUGAAGACAGGGACCAGACAUCAUGGGUGUUGAUGGGACUGGGCCCACGUGAAGCUCCUGAAGUUCAGCCAGGCCACGUGUGAGGUCCCACAGCUGGAUCAAGGCAACCCCGGUAUCCUGCAAAGAACAACCCUGUGGAGGAGGACUCGGUGGUGCUGGUGGGUCUGGAGAGACCUUAGUGUGGUUUUUCAAUACAUACUGGGGGCUUGUACAGAAGAUGGAGAGAGACUUUUUACCAGAGAAGUAAAGAGGGUGGGUUUAGAUUGGACAGCGGGGAGAAAUGUUUUAUGGUGAGUGUGGUGAGACACUGGGAUGGGUUCUUCAGAGGAGCUGUGGAUGCCCCAUCGCUGCAAGUGUUCAUGGCCAGGCUGGACGGGGCUCUGAGCAGCCUGAGCUGGUGAAGAUGUCCCUGCCCAUGGCAGGGGUGGCACUGGGGAGCUGGGAAGGUCCCUUCAACCCAAACCAUUCUGUGGGUCUAUGAUCUCUGCACACAUAUCCUGUGAGAACAGUUCUGCUGUUUCACUUGUCCCAGUUCAGGUACAACCACAUUGAUAAAGGCUCAUUGCGAUUUUGGGGGAGUGAUUUAAGGUCUGGAUCUGCAGGAAAACAUCUCAUGUCUGGUCUAAGAGGAAACGUUGGCCAUGUUCCAUCAGCCUCCUGGGCACAGCAAGAUGACUUCCCUUGGGCUGGGACACUCAUGGGUGAGGAGAAGAAUGGAGUCUGUGUGGUGAGGAGUGGGAACGUGGUUUUAUCUCUUGAAGAAGCAUCUGAGGAUGAGCCAGUGACCGGCGCAGGGUGGAGGAUGGUGAUGAGAGCGGCCUCGUGCUGUCCUUGUCUCCCAAAAGCUGCAGAGAUGCUGCUGAAUGGGUCUGGAGGACAAGCCCAGAGCAGAGGGCUGUGCUGGCCGUGGGAGGGCAGCUGUGCCCGGGACGGAGGGGACGAGUUCUUGCAGGCCUGGGGACAAACCCUGCCUGGGAACGGAGCAGCUUGUUCAGAGUGAAACAGGAACGGCCGCAACGUGACUCAGCCCAACCUUUGGUCCCCGGCAGCGUGUCCUCUGGGUAACCCGGCGCUGCUCCCGCUCCGCGUCUGGGAUGGAGCGGGAGGGACCUUCUCUCCCGUGCAUACGUGCGGUGGAGCAGCCGGGCGGUUUCGUUGUACCUCCCUGGCUGGAUUAAAGAGCACUUGAACAACAAGUAUUUUCGCCUCGCUGCGGUGCCUCGGUGCCACCUCUCGCCCCUCCUUCUGCUUUUGUGCUCUUUGAACAUCUCGCUGGAGGGUUUCGCAGCCCUCCCGUCUGCGCCGGCUGGAGGAAAGAGCUUUGCUUUGGGGUUUUCACGUCUGCAGGAGUUGCCGUGGUAUGCACGGGCAAGGUCACCCUUGCUCCUGUGUCUGGCGCUGCUGGUGGACGUGGCCCAUGGGCUCAGUGGGAGAUGUUUUGCCGGUGUGACCCCACAGCUCUUGUGGUUGCCGCUUUCCUUGGGAACCAAAUCUCCCGAACGCCCUUUUUCUCAACACAUAUCCAGCUCUGUGGCAUGUCCUGACUUGUUAUGUACUCGCCUUGAGCCCGCUGCUACCAGUGCAUCGGGACACGAGCGAUAACGUCGCCAGGGAUCGGGCUGAUGGUGACGAAACCUGUUGGCAACAACCUCUCCGAGACCUUCCAGGGUCUCCGGGGUGGAACAGGCCGCGGGUGCAGGUUUCCCUGGGGCUGCCAUUCGCCAGCUCCCAGAGCCCCAAAAGGUAUUUUUGGGGCCACCAGCGGGAGCAAGAGAAACAAGCACGUGCUGAUGGACCCGUGUCCGGAGCACGGGCACCAGAACCAGGUCUGGUUUGGGAGGGAACGGCCGCGCUGGGCGAGCGGCCGCGCUCAGCAAAAUGGCCGUGCAGGGCGCAGCGGGGCUCGGCGAGCCGCUUUGUGCCGCCGGCCGCGUUCCCGUCCCGCGGGUGGGUUCCCGGGGCGGCGAACGCCCCCGCCAGCCCCGCUCCGCCGUGCUGCUGCCCCGGCACCCGCGCGCUGGGGCGGCUCGCCCGGCUGCGGACCUUCGGCAUUAAACAAAAGAGCCUCCCAGCUCUUGGCUGCUGCUCCGGCUUUGUUUUGAUUGAGAGGUUGUUCAGCAGGAGGAGGGCGCAUGGGUUGGUUUUUUUUUCCCCUCCUGACGAGCGUCCAGAUGCGACGCUGCUGCAAGCAAGGGAAAGGCAAACAGAAGCUGCUGGAGACUCGGCAGCUCUGAAAAGCCUCUCCGGGUCACGUGCGCUGCGGCGAGGAGGGUGGAUUUGGCCAUGUCCCUCCGUGCCAUAGGGGAUAAAAGCCAGGGGUGCAUUGUUUUGACCCUGAAUUUCCCCCUCUGAGCGGAGAUCGCAGGCUUUGGCUGUCGGGUCGGGGACACCGCAGUGGUGUGAAGAUACAUUUCUGGUUCCCUGGGGGCCAGUGUGGCCUUGGAAAUGGUGCUUUUGUGUUGUUGUUAAGACAUUUUUGCUGGGAGGGCCGAGGAUUGGAUGUGCCAAGGUGACUCCAGCUUGGAGAGGCAAGAUCUACCAGGUCCAGCCCAACAGGAGGCGGCCGCAGACCCUCCUGGGGACAUUUCUGCACGUUAGGUGUUGCGUUUCCUUCUGGGUUUGUAUCUCAUAGAAAGAGGGACGCGUGGGAGCUGCCGUGCCUAGGGCUUGAGCCUUCCGUGCUCGCAAAAAACCACCCAAAACACACCAAAGCAGCUUUUCCCACCCCAAACGUCAAGACGUUUGACGCGAGGCUUCAGCAAAGCCCAGGCUGCCCUGACCGAGGAUGGAGAGGCCUCCUCGGCCUCAUGUGUGGCAGACGUGUGUGUGAUCUGGACCCAGAAGUGACAGGUAGCGCCCAGCCUGGGUUCACUUGCCUCGGGGCUGGAUUUUGGGGAGGAAAACUUCCCAACGGAGGCGUUUGGGUGAAACCACCCUUUCCCUUGCAGCUCGCUCUGGUCUCCAGGGCUGCCUCAACCCUGCCAUUCCUUUUCCCCUGGGAUUUUUCGGGCAAACGCUUGGGGUGGAUACCUGCUCAUACCCCGAAUCCGGGCAGAAGUGAUUUUCCUGCCCGCUCAGUGCUGUGUCCCCCUUGUUCUGCAGGGAAUGGCGCUGACAGUGAUGUGGGGUGCAGCGACACAGGGAUGCAGUGACAGGGGGUGUGGUGACAUGGGCGUGGGGCGACAGGGGGUGCAUUGUCACGGGGCUGCAGCGACAUGGGCUGCAGGGACACAGGGGUGCAGUGACAGGGGGUGCAUUGUCAUGGGGCUGCAGGGAGACAGGGUGCAUUGAUAUGGGGGUGCAGUGACACGGGGUGCAGGCAGCUGCCUCUCGCCAUGGUUUUUGUCCCCGGCCGGGCUGGGAUGAGCUGCUGACAGGGCCGUGCUGGGAGGUUUUGGGAACAGCACCACUCGGUUCCUUAUCGGCCCCGGAGCUUCUGCCGCGGGAACAAGGCGCGAGGGGCACGCGGCCAACUCGUGUCAAGAGCUACAAAGGAGGAAAUUGGCCUCGUUCACUUAAAACCAUGGGGUUAGUCUUUGAGUUUUGGCUCCUGCUGAGAAGUUAUUUAUAUGCGGGCUUUUAUUAUUUUAUUUUUUUUUAAUAACUGCUGGAUGUAGCAGCUUCAGCCGAUCCCACCUCUGAAGGCAAAAUUGCAUCUCUCCCUGUUUGCUUUCCCGGCUGGCAGCGUGAGGAAGGACUAGUUAAGGGGUGAGUUAGUUGUGCUGCCCGACCCACCGGCAUUACCGGAUCCCAGUUAAUCGCUCGUUGAGCCCAAUCGCAGCCCCAUCCCCACCAGAGCGGGAAGCAGGACCUGUGGCAGCAGGUACCGGAGCUGGGGAAGCAGAGAAAAGGGCGCUGAUGGAGGGGACGGCUCCUCCGGGGGGUCUGCGCCGCAUCCUCGGCACGGCCGAGCUGCACACCUGACACUGUGAUUAGAAAUGCUGAUGAAAAGGCCGGUGGGUGAUUGAUCCUGCUGACUCACGGACCUGAUUUCUCCUGCGAUGGCGAGGGGAACGCUGGAGAUGGGUCAGAUUUUGAGGCUAAUCGGCCUGGGUAGACUCAUGUUUGUUACUUUGCUUCCAGGCUGGCGGUGGUUGCUCAUUAGCCUAAUGACCCCGGUUACCCAGCACCAUUUAUCUCUCCGAGUGAGAUUGCUUUAAAGGAAGAUUCGUGCGUCUCCGAAAGCUUCAAAACCCGGCGGCUGUGCCGGGGAGGUGAUGUAGGGGGAUGUGCCAGGAAUAACCUGCUAAUGAGCAAAGCUGCUCCAACCACUGGAAAGGGCUGGGGAGCAAAGCACCGUCUGCUUGUCCCUUCCUCCGCUUUUCCAGCGUGGUUUGGUGGGGAUUUGCCACCUUCUCCCUGUUUCCUGCAGGCUUUGUGCCGCUGUUUUCCCAAUGUUUGCCGUGCAAACACGGUGCUGUGUUCCUCUGACGGUGAUUUUCGGGCUGUGAAAUCCAUCCCACCUGCGAGUCCUUGUGCAGCUGGAGAUUGCAAUGGACUUUCUGUGGUGACUCAUCGGGGUCUUCCCACCUCGUGGUGGUCGUGGAGUCCUCAUUUCGCUGCAAGAGCAAAGCCGCCCUGGGUCUCGCAGGAGUUGGAGAGCCGGGGAGACACAGCCCAGGGCUGGAAAAAGAAUCGCCGGGCUCUGAGAUGAUUUAAUGCCACCAGCAGCCUGAUGAUACGUUGUAUUUGGUGACAACAUCUGCUGGAGAUAUUCCUGUCGCUGUUACUCACUCCUGCCCACGGAGCAGCGCGGGGGGCUGAGCUGCUGGAAUAGAAUAAAGGGGUUUUGUGGGCCGGGGCAGCGGGGGACACGGCUUUGCCGGCCGGUGUUGGGGUGUAAGGGCCUCUCGCGGGGCUGGCGGUGGCUUUGGCCAGCACCUCUUCUUGUCCCUUGUCCCCUGGCUGAGCGGUGCUGUGGGCAGGAUAAAUCCCUUUGCAGGGAGACGUUAACCACAAAGCUUUUGUACGGUGGAGUAACAGCACGUGCUUCUGUCUGCUGAUGUUCCCCCUGUGCUUGGACUGAAUUUAGUUUAAAACUCGGUGUCUAGAUAUAUUGUAAAAUAUUGUCUGGCCCUCGUUCUCUUGGGGUCUGGUGAAGAUGGUGAGCAAGCCUGCCCCUCAGCAUUAAUUCUGGUCACGGCGUGGAGGUUGCCACAUUUUACAUCUCGUCAAGGGGAUGGGAUGUGAUACAACUCAAAACGGUGUUUUGCCCGGUGCGAGGGACCAGGAGGAGCUGUGCGGGCUCUGCGCUGCCCUUCCUUAGUGCUGGAGCCUCCGUGCCUCAGUUUCCCAUGCGUGGAUCAGAUGCCCCAUUAGGUGCUUUGUCGAGCAGAAGCACCCAAGUGCUCUGGCUGGAGAACACACCAUCACAGCUACAAACCCUGUGCUGAUGUUGUGUUUCCUUUGCUUUUUUCCCCCAUGUCAGCAAGUAAUUUCACCCUGGGAAGCUCGCUCCCCAAUUAGCGAUGUAAAUGCAAUGUUGUGAUUUUUUUUUCCCCAGGUGCUAUGCAAACGAACGCUGUUCCCAGCCUCCUCCCGCUUGCCUCCCCAUCCCUCCCUCCGCUUGCUGGGAUGCGGGAACGUGGCCUCCCGCCCUGGGAACAGCCCCGUUCACCCGUUGCACAGGGGGCUGGUUAUGGAGUGAACCCUGUGGCGGCACCGGCCUGGGGUUCAACCUGUGAAACAGGAUCCCGUGCUGGGGCUUGGUCCUGCGUUCAAGUACGUUUGGGCUGGAGGAAGCAGAGCAGCCUGUGUGUGUGACAGUGGUGGGGUUGUGUUGUCCCAAAGGGGUUUGUUCUCUAGGAUAUCUACAAAAUAAUCGGUGCUGCUAACGCCAGUGUUGGUGCCGGGAUGGCACAUUGUGGCAGAGGGGCUGCUAUGUCCUCGCAGUCCCACGCUGAGCAUCGUGCGCACCGAGAGCCACUGCUAACGUGAUUAUUCCAGCUCCGAGUGUUUCACAGAAUCCCAGAAUGUGAGGGGCUGGAAGGGGCCUGGAAAGCUCACCCAGUGCAAUCCCCCCAUGGAGCAGGAACACCCAGAUGAGGUUACACAGGAAGGUGUCCAGGCGGGUUGGAAUGUCUGCACAGAAGGAGACUCCACAACCCCCCUGGGCAGCCUGGGCCAGGCUCUGCCACCCUCACCCCAAACAAGUUUCUUCUCAGAUUUCAGUGGAACCUCCUGUGUUCCAGUUUGCACCCAUUGCCCCUUGUCCUGUCACUGGUUGUCACCAGAAGAGCCUGGCUCCAUCCUCCUGACACUCCCCCUUUCCAUAUUGAUCCCCAGGAAUGAGUCCCCCCUCAGUCUCCUCUUGUCCAGCUCCAGAGCCCCAGCUCCCUCAGCCUUUCCUCACACGGGAGAUGCUCCACUCCCUCCAGCAUCUUGGUGGCUGCGCUGGACUCUCUCCAGCAGUUCCCUGUCCUGCUGGAACUGAGGGGCCACAGCUGGACACAAUAUUCCAGGUGUGGUCUCCCCAGGGCAGAGCAGAGGGGCAGGAGAACCUCUCUGACCUACUGACCACCCCCUUCUAACCCACCCCAGGUACCAUUGGCUUCCUGGCCACAAGGGCCCAGUGCUGGCUCAUGGUCACCCUGCUGUCCCCAGGACCCCCAGGUCCCUUUCCCCUACACUGCUCUCUAAUAGGUCAUUCCCCAACUUACACUGGAACCUGGGGUUGUUCCUGCCCAGAUGUCAGGCUCUACACUUGCCCUUGUUCUAUUUCAUUACAUUUUUCCCUGCUGUGAUGUGGGCAGGAGACAAGCGGGGACGUUGGUGCCGGAGCUGAGCCCUGGCCAUGGAGCGCAGGAGGGAUUGGAAGGAAAGGACGAGCCGGGGCUGAAAAGGAGCCUGUGCGGGGGGAUGGCCGGGCGCCAGGCGGUAACGAAUGGCGGGGAAGAGCCGCGUGUGCUGGCGAAGCCUCUCCCAGACAGGCGGAUCUAUAGGCGGCCUUGUCGGCAGAGCGACGCUUUAGGGCUUCAAGUGCUGUUUGCUGUUCUGCGGCCGGGAGGGGAGGAAGGCACCGUGUAUAUAUAUCACAGAGCCCAGCAGUUUGCUAACAGGAAGGUUUAUUUUUUGCUGAGCAUUAACAUUUCAAGGUACAGGAACUCUGGAGGUAUUUAGUGUUUUAUGGUCUUCCAGGCCGGCUAUUAAUACUUUGUGUACAGGGUGAAGGGAGCUGGAGGGGCUGAGCGUUGAAUGGCCCUUUGAGGGGAGCCAGCCUUUUGGUACAAACCCUACAGCCGCAACCAGAAUGUUUCUCAGCCGCCCUGACCCAGGGGGAGAGAUAAAGCCCUUUGCUAACGGGGAGAGCUGGUGGUUCUGCAGGGACUGGAUCUUGUGUCAAAAAAGCAUCGCGAUGACCGAACGUGCCGUGGCUUUGCCAGUUGCUGCCUGGUUUGCGGACGAGCGUCGUCCCAGGAAAACGCUGUCUCAGCUCUGUCCUGCAGCCCAGGAAAGCAGGAGAUGGUGGUGUUCCCCACAAUGGAUAAUUCGAUGGUAGCGAAUGGGGCAUCAUGUCCGUGUGGGCUCUGUAAGCAGGUUCAGUGUUUGCUCAUUCCCUGAGGCGCGUGGCAUUAAAAAAUGGGAAUUUGGGGAUUUCUGGGCCGUGGGUCCCGGUGCAGAGGGCAGCGGCAGGUCCCGGGCUGUUUGUUCUCAUGCGGACGGUGGCUGUUUUGGGGUUCCCAACACUCCCAGUGUGCUCGAGCCCAGGGGUGAGACCUGAUCCUGAACCAGUGAGCAAAGCUCCUGUUGGCUUCAAUGUGAAGUCAGCAAGGGUGAACGUAAAGAGCAACACCGUCUGCCGUUAAAAUCUCAAUGCGGCCUGCACAAUAGCAAUACUUCUCAUUGUCAGAUGGCAGUGUGCUCGCACAAAGCUUUUCCCAAAGUCCUGGAGCAACAAGAGAUGCCCAUUAGCACUCUGAAGACUGCGCUCUGCUGGCGCGUGGGUCAGAUAAUGUGUUAAUGCUGCUCAAACAGCUUAACUUUAAUUUCUUUCUUCCGCGUAGCAGCAGAUAGUUACAGUGAUGGCAUUUAAAACAAAAAGUCUGAUUAUAGAGUCUGGUCAAAAAUAUACAGCUUGCAGCCACCUUUGAAGCGACAGAAGAGGAAGGAGGCGAUUUCUUAUAUUUCAGGCAGAAGACAGAAGUUGAAGCGAUGCCCUGCGAGCUGCGCACAGGGAAGGGCCAGCCCUGGGACGGGCAUGGGUGAGGUGCACCACGUUUUCCCGGUGUCCUUUGGCCGCAGGAACGAGAGCGACCAGACUUGCAGGUGCCUCUUCUUUCUGGGCAAGAAACCAAGAGCUUCAUCCUCCAGGCCGCCGGAGCAGCCAGAUUUUCUGGGCAAGAGAGGGAUCCAUUUGGUGCAGAUCCCAAGCCUGUGGUGAGGGGUUGGCUCCUCUUUCAAAGCCACUACUGUGAAGCGGAGCAUGUCGAGCUGCGGCAGGGGGCCGGGGUUUUGGUAAACUGGACAUUUCUGGGCGCAGAGACCCGUGUUACGGUGCUGUGCUUUGCUCCUUGCUCAUUGUUCUGCCUUUGUGCGUUGCCCAAAACCCUUUGGUCCCUGGCCAACCUGUUUCAAACGUGGCACUAAAGCAGCACCGGGCAAGAGGGGCCUGGGCAGUGAGGGUUCCAGCGUCCCACCACCCAGCAAGGCCAUUAAAACCCCAUCUCCUCUGGGAGCUGAUGGGCUGAUACAGGAGAUGGGAAGAGAAUCUCUCUCAGUUUUCCGUUGAUCCUACGGAGCCGGCGUGGGAGGCUCAGCCGGGCCGGCUGUGUUGGUGGCUGUUGGCUCUGGCACUCCGGUCCUCUUUACUUCUCAGUUCUAGGAAAUCGAAUAAAGAGAAAACCACUUAGGGGAGGAUUUUAAUCAGAACUUGGCAGGAGAACUUAGAGAAACCCAAGAAAUCUUCAGACGACUGAGAUUGCCGAUGAGCGGAAAGGGCAAAGACUUGGGUGGGUUGGGUUUCUUCUGGCCUGUUUAGUGGGAUCACAUUAGCAUUCCUGACCCCCUGAGCUGAGUGAGAGGAGAAAUCAGUCGUCUUCAACGUGCAAGAGACUUGCUGUCAGCUGGAAAUGAGGCAGAGUCCUCUGGGGUGGUUGAUGGAAGUCAUCCCAGACCUGGAGAUGAUGCCCAGCAUGGCUUGGAGGAGAUGGCUUUGUAGUCAUUGUGGUCUUGCAGAUUGGGGCUGUUGUGUGGUAUGGUUGGGUUUCUUCAAGAAGCUGGUCUUGGCAGGCGUGAGGAUUGGGUUCAUGUGAACCUCAUGAAGUUCAACAAGGCCAAGCGUGAGGUUCUGCAGCUGGGUUGGGGCAACCCCCGGUAUCAAUACAGACUCUGGGGGGCGAACGGGUUGAGAACAGCCCUGUGGAGGAGGACGUGGGGACACUGGGAGGUGACAAAGCGGACAGGGGCUGUCUGUGUGCUCUCGCAGCCCGGAAAGCCAGUUGUGUCGUGUUGGAGCAGGUCCAGAGGAGGCCAUGGAGAUGGUGAGAGGGCUGGAGCAGCUCUGCUAUGGGGAGAGGCUGAGAGGUGGGUUGUGCAGUUGCAGAGACGCUGGACAGACCUUAUUGUGGCUUUUCAAUAUGUAUGAGGAAGAAAGAGAAUUUUUACCAAGGUCUGUAGUGACGAGACAAGGGGCAACAAUUGUGAACUGAAAGAGGGGAGAUUUAGGUUGCAAUUAAGGAAGAAAUGUUUUUAUGGUGAGGGUGGUGAGACACUGGAAGAGUUUGUGGAUGCCCCAUCAUGGGGGUGUUCAAGGUCACGUUGGACGGGGCUCUGAGCACCCUGAGCUGGUAAAGAUGUCCCUUCCCAUGGCAGGGGUGGCACUGGGGGAGCUGGGAAGGUCCCUUCAACCCAAACUGUUCUGUGGGUCUGUGGUGUGAAGUUGUUGACGAUAAAUGCUGUUGGGAGUGAGAAAUGCUGCUGGGAGGCUCAAAGCCUUUGGGGGUGACGUUUGGGUUCAGACCGAGACUUGUGUGAGGGGUGUCCCCUUGAGGGGUGUCUCUUGGAGGGGUGUCCCCUUGAGGGCUGUCUGUUGGAGGGGUGUCCCCUUGAGGGCUGUCUGUUGGAGGGGUGUCCCCUUGAGGGGUGUCUGUUGGAGGGGUGUCCCCUUGAGGGGUGUCUCCUCACUUGUCCAAACCUGUUGCUGUGCUGGGAGAUUCAUCUCUGCUCUCCAGACCCCGUGUAUCACUGGCGAUGAGUUUCCCAUAACAUCUCAGCUCAAGUUUCUCAUUUUGGGGUUUGGCUCAGUUGUAACUCCUUCUGUAAACUGUUAUUUCGGAAAAUUUGAUUAAAAAUCCCUAGAGUGGUACGAGUAGCUUGGCUGUUUAGGGAAGGAAUGCUGCAGGAGCGGUUCCUGCGUGUGUGUCCUGCAGGUGGGUAACCCAAACCAGCUUUUAUUUCCCUAUUCCAGGCGAGGUGAGCAUGUAAUUUUGGUUUAUGAGCGUGGGCCUGGCUCUGCUCAGCAGAACCCCCCAAAGUUGUGUUUAUUUGUAAAAGGCUCUUCAAGACGCCAUUCUACCAUUGCUUUUGUUUUAUUGAUGUUCCAACAUCUGGACUGUUUUCGUAAAUGUGCUUUCAUCCAAGAAGAGGCUAAGGGAGUGUGAACUGUUCUGAUAAAGCUGCCAAAAAUAAUCAUUGCUUGAGACUAAGUACCACUCUCGGGGCUUUCUCCUGUAAAACAAUUUGUGGGUGAGGACAACGAAUGACCCAGGGAAGCCCCCAAAUGCUCCAGUUGGUUUUUCCUGCUGGGGGUUCCAGGACUGAAAAUUCAUGUUUGAGUUUGUCACGCGCUGCGUGAGAUGAUGUGAUCGGGUCAGGGAAGUUGCAGGAGAUGGUGGUUGAGGUGGCCAGGUCCUUGAGAGGAGGAUCUGCCCACAGCCAGCUGGUGGGAACCAUCUGGAACUUGAUGAUGCAGAUGUCCAUCUUCCUCAGCCUUGUAACGACUGAGCAUAGUGGUUGGACUUGAUGACCUUGAGGGUCUUUUCCAACCAAAAUGAUUCUGUGACUUGCUCUUCCUCCUUCAAGAUUCUGAUCUUGUGAUAAGCUGAUAGGGCGAGUCCGAUGGCUGGCAUGGCAUUGAGUGUUGAGGUGACAACGGGAUAUGGCUGAUCUUUAGGGUUUUGGAUGAAAAGUAGGGUGGUGCAGCCUGGGAAGUGCUGAGAUGCAGCAACCUUAACUCUGCCCCUUCAUCAUCCUCCCUCUGGCAGCGUUCGCACUCAUCAUCACGUGUCCCUAUGCUGUCACUUUGACAACUUGUGUCUCGCUGAGACAUGGAGGUCUACGUGGUAUGAGUUCUCCAAAGUUACGUGGCCACGAAGCAAAAUAUUGUUUUUGAUGCCGUCUGCUUUGUAGGGGACGGAGUUGGGUCUGCCGGAGGGGGUUUAACGUGCUCCCCUGGCUUUGUGCUGCACCACGCCUCUCCCAAAGGACACGGGGCUGGUUGUAUGAAUUCACAAUUAACUGAAUACAGCCGCUUCUUAAGGUGUUGUUAAGAAAAGUGUGCUUGUAGGAGGGCUGUCUGCUGAACCCCUUGGCUGGUGGCUUGCACGGCAAGCCUCAGGGGUCACGUUUUGCAGGUGGAACUUGUGCGGUGAGAACGUUGGUGGCUGUCAUGUCCCGUUGAGUAGCACACAAAGCCCAACCUUGAAUGUGCAGCUGCUCGGGUUCUCUUUAAGACAACCAGCAGCUUUGGAGGGUGAGUGCAACCCGGGGAUGAUGCCACCACCAGCGGGUGGAGGAUUCAUGUCACAACCAGGAGUUUGGGUACUAACCUGGAAGAGAUUGUGUCAGUGGGACAACGUGUUCCUUCUCGGGGGCUCCUCGUGACUCUAGAAACAUGAACUCUGGGAAGCACCAGGCGCUUGGUGGCUCCUCAAAGCCGUGUCCAUGCUGGCGAAUGGCGCGGGACACGACCCAAGCUCUGGAGACUCGCUGGAGGGCUCCAGCUGGCUGGGAACUCAACAGGGCCCAGAGCCGCCGCUGUCCCGCCUAGGCCAAGGAUUCUUAGGGGUUUAAUUGACCCGUCGGGGCUGCGAGGCCGUUCCAGCGACACGUUUAUUGGUGUCAGCAGCACCGAGCACCCGCCGCAGCUUCUGCAGCUUCUGCCUUCCCGGGGGGCAAACGCUGCGCGUUUCCUCUGGACCCAAGUGAAAAUCUCCACGUAGGUUUGUCAUCGGGCUUUUGUGAAAGUUCAGCCACAGGUCUUCAUCUUGUUCCUCCAGUGUAUUUUGGAUUGAAGCGUGGUCAGUUUGGUCCUUCCUCUUACUCAAGCCUUCUCUGCGCAGGGGGAAUCUUUUAUCUGUGUGUGUUUUUCAUCAGCAGCGUUGGCUGGAGCACAGAUCGCAGGGCAUUGGUUCCUCCUAAGCCAGGUGUGAAGAACUGAGACCGCAGCUGUGCCAAGCAACUAAAUAAUCCCGAAAUGCACGUUUGCAUUUUCUUAUCUCCUCCGUAAAUCUGUCUGGACGUCAGGAGUAGACUGUUCCACCUGUUCUACCACCUUGUAGGCUGCUCUCCUCAAUGGGUGUCAGGACACAGCAGAUAUUUGGUUACGAUCUCUUGGAAGAUGGGAGAUCUCACCAGGUUCAUGUUCAGCCUGAGCUUGGGCACAGGAGCUUUUGUGCUUCCUUGCGUGAUCAUCUGAGCUUGUCUGCAACACUGGGACGUGUCCUACCUGCCUCUGGCCACCUCUUCCCACACUGAUACUCAACCAUUUGUGCAACCGUGUGGGGAACUGGGUCAGGGAUAUGAUCCAAUUAAAAGCUACACCGAGCAACAUCAAAAGCGGGUUUGAACCAGGCGGUUUCCCAGCGCUUGUGUUGGUAAAAGGGCUUUGGGCCAGGGGAGGGAUGGACGGCUGUGGUUGGGCCGUGGUGGAUGGUUCCUUCUGAUGACGGUGCUGGCCCAUGAAGACUCGUUGGACACGGCCUGUGUUGGUAGGCGACCGCAGGGACAGCAAACCCGACUCCUGCUGGGCUUCAUUUUCUUCCCGGAGAGCCCAGUCUCGCUCCCCGGCGGUUGGAUUGAUGUCUCAAGGCUCAUGGGGAGCCCUUGGCCACAUUUUCAUGGGCUCCUUCUCUCCCAAGGGUGCAGCUGUGGGUGCAGGGGGCUGUGCCGCACCCCGGGGGUUGCCUGCAGUAAUCCUGCCUAAUCCUUUAAUCUGUAUCAACACUGAUAGGUAUUAAAGCAGCAGAUAAGGUUCAGACGGUGGCUCAGCGAUAUCUCCACCCUCUUCCAGCUAAAUCGGGGCCGGUUGUGCUUUCUCUUAAGGGGGCCGUGCAGGUUUGCUGGGUUGGCUGGGGAGGGUGGAUUAGCAGCUCCUGUGUCGCCAGACAAGCCCGUCGUUCCAUCGACGGCCAUUGUGCGCUUGCCGGAAUGAACCCCUCCAGUGCGUGGAGCCAAGCUGGAGCAGCAGCUCUGCCGCCUCCUGCUCGUUGCCUGUGACGUCCACCUGGAUAUAAGCCUGAUUUGGCUGGAAACGCUUUGUGGAGCUCUCAGGCAGCAAACAUGAAUGUUUCUUGGCUCUUGGUGCUGUGUGCGGCUCCGGACGGGCGUCACCUCCUGCCCCACAUCCAGCCCAGGACCAUCACCUCCAUCUUCAUCCUCCUUAUCGCUUCUUUUUGGGCACCUUUCCUGAUGACCGAGGGCUGGGAUGUUCUCACUUCUACAAAUGCCACAGCGCUCUCCCAUGAAGGUGCUGGGACUCCACCGUAAUUACUGAGUAGCAAAUGAAGGUCGUUAGCACUUGGAAGAGCAGCUCGCGGUUGAAUUCCCCACACAAAAUGAACCAUCCCUGUUGGUUUUGCCAUUGUAGGCCCGUCCCCUGUUUCCCGUCCUCUUCCAGCUUCUCCCCAUGCUCAUGGGAUUGCUCCGAGUUUGCCACCCAUCCCCUCAGCAGCAAAGCCGUGGUUAAUCCUGCCCUUAAAUCCUUUAAGCUGUCAACAAACAACCCCCUUCUUCAACUUGUAGCACGCAAGCUGGACUUGGGACAGAGCCUGGCUCACAACCCCAGGCUUUUGUUGCUGUUCCCACAUCCUCAGCUCCUGGUCCCGUUUUUCCCAGCACCGGAGCAAUGGAUCUUAGGUGGAAAAAUAUUCCGGUUCGUAAUGACCCAGCGCUGGGUUCCCGGUGCGUUGUGUUUGGUGUCGCAGGUGAAGAUGUUGCUUGGAUCCAAGGAUCCUCCUGGCAGCAGGUGUUGGCCUUGCUUCUGGUCUACAUGAGCUGCUUGUGCAGCUGGUGGCACCAAAAUGGGCUCAAAAUCUCCACUAAAGCUUUUUCAAUAGACAGACUAUUGCGACACAUCGUUGCGUCGGUGGUCCACACGGAUGGUGCAUUGACAGUUUGGCUCUUCCAGGCUUGUUUAUUCCUUCGAAACACAAGGUUGUAUUGUUGGUUUGGGUCGUAUUUUCAUCAGGGAUUACGUUAGAUGGUUCGAUUAUUGCAUGUCUUUGUUUUGAAGAAUCUCAGUAUGCCCUCCUCGGAAAAUCUGCAUCCUCCGAGGCAUUUGGCAGAACCCAAGGGACCAAAAAAAAUCAGCGAGCGCUUCUCAAAGUCUCAGUCUUGAGUUUCUCUCCAAUGUAAUUUGGUUUCUUCUCUGAAACCUCUGGAUGAAACAGGCUGUGGAGGUGGUGGGGUUUGCACCACACUUGCUCUCCAGGUCUGUCAAACAAGCGCUGUGAACCUUUGCGGCUCCCUCAGGAAUAUCAAACGGCACCUUGCGCAGAGUCCCCGCGCUGGGGAUUAUUCGGGAAAACAGAAGGCAGGAAAAGAAGAGGUUAAUUUGGUGCUGGCAGCUCCAGAAACUCGUGUCCUCCAAGCCGUGGUUCAGCUCGGCUGGCUCAGGUGCAGGUGCUCCUCGGCUUAUCCCUCUGGUCUGGCAGAGGAGACGGGAUUUGGAGGAAAUACCGCGUUAAAUUUGAAGUUCCGAGUUAUUGAAAUAGGUGAUUUACAAAAAGAAAGAAA